GUGAAUCAUCAAAUUUUUGAACGCAAAUUGCACUCCCUGGUAUUCCGGGGAGUAUGCCUGUUUGAGGGUCGUUAGAAUAAUAAAUCGAGGCGUUGUUUUUUUUUUUAAGGGUGACCGCGUUGGAAUUGAGGUGUUUUUCAAACGUUAAUUCAUGUCAAAGUGGCUUAAAUAUCAUCCAUACGGUACGAAUAAA
rnacentral:misc_RNA from 1 species